UUGAACGCUGGCGGCAUGCCUUACACAUGCAAGUCCAACGGCAGCACGGAGCUUGCUCUGGUGGCGAGUGGCGAACGGGUGAGUAAUAUAUCGGAACGUACCCUAGAGUGGGGGAUAACGUAGCGAAAGUUACGCUAAUACCGCAUACGAUCUAAGGAUGAAAGUGGGGGAUCGCAAGACCUCAUGCUCGUGGAGCGGCCGAUAUCUGAUUAGCUAGUUGGUAGGGUAAAAGCCUACCAAGGCAUCGAUCAGUAGCUGGUCUGAGAGGACGACCAGCCACACUGGAACUGAGACACGGUCCAGACUCCUACGGGAGGCAGCAGUGGGGAAUUUUGGACAAUGGGCGAAAGCCUGAUCCAGCAAUGCCGCGUGAGUGAAGAAGGCCUUCGGGUUGUAAAGCUCUUUUGUCAGGGAAGAAACGGUGAGAGCUAAUAUCUCUUGCUAAUGACGGUACCUGAAGAAUAAGCACCGGCUAACUACGUGCCAGCAGCCGCGGUAAUACGUAGGGUGCAAGCGUUAAUCGGAAUUACUGGGCGUAAAGCGUGCGCAGGCGGUUUUGUAAGUCUGAUGUGAAAUCCCCGGGCUCACCUGGGAAUUGCAUUGGAGACUGCAAGGCUAGAAUC
rnacentral:rRNA from 1 species